GGAUGUGAGGGCGAUCUGGCUGUGACAUCUGUCACCCCAUUGAUUGCCAGGGUUGAUUCAGCUCAUCUGGCUGGCUCCGGUGUCCCCUUCCUUCCUCACCACUCCAUGUGUGUCCCUCCCAAAACUGUGCACUUCAAGAGGACGACCUUCCCUGAUAGAGGAGGACCGUUCUUCAGUCAAGGGUAUAUGAGUAGCUGCACUCCCCUGCUAGAACCUCCAAACAAGCUCUCAAGGUCCACUUGUAGGAGAACGUAGGGUAGUCAAGGUUCUAAGACUCCAGACUAACAGAAGACCAU
rnacentral:snRNA from 1 species